rnacentral:rRNA from 1 species
AACAACAGACACGCCGACCCUCCAUGGCUCCAACAGACCGUAGAACCUCCCCCAGAUCUCGACGCCCAAUCCACCAGAUCGCCGCCGCCCCCAACUAUCCCAGCGCCGGCGGCCGCCCUCCACCUGGAUCACCACUGCCGCCGUCACCCACCACCGUCGCAGCCCUCCGUCGACCCCAACCACCACUGCAGCCCCUCCGCUAACCCCAACCACCACACUGCUGCCGACCGCCCUUCGUCCCCAACCACGCCGUCGUUGCCCCCAACCACUCCAGAGCGACACCGCCGAGCACCCGAUUGACACGGAGCACCACUAGUGUCGCCGAACCGCUCCACCGGCGACGACCAUCUUCCGCGGAACGCCUUCCUCGCCACCACCCUGAGAGCUUCCUCCCUCGAGAAGGUUGCCUCCUCUUCACCGAAGCACCAAGGGCAAGGGGUCCGCCUCCUCUCCCGUGAGCAUCUCUACCGCAAGUAGCGGAACGUCGACCUCAAGCGGCCACUAGCGGGAGCCCUCCUCCCACCUCCCCGUUUCUCAAAGGUGCACAAGUUCACUAAGGUUUGGAAGAUCUUUAAGCUGCUGAAGAUUUGGAAGACCUACAAUUAAGUUGAUGGAGUGAUAAUGUCACGUGUCUUGUUUGUCCCUGCUGCAUUUUGGUGGUUGUUAAGCUCAUUUUGGUUGUGUGGCACACAUCUAGAAGCAUAUGUACAUCUUUUGUGGCACUAGUUUAGUUUGGUUGUGUGGCAAACAUAUAAUAUGUACUCCUUUUGUGGCACAACCUUGUUAUAUAUGGUCG